rnacentral:misc_RNA from 1 species
AGUUGCAUGAUGCGCUAAGAUGGCUGCUUAUCAAUUCAGUAUCAUGUUUUAUAACUUAAUGCAUCAGAGUAACCACCAUAACAUGCCGUUUAAAAAUUCAUGCUCCAAAUCUAACCUAAACAGAGGGAUCUUAAUACACAAGAUUCUUAUUAAAAGGCAAAGAAAUACGAGGAAAAAAAUGUCCUAACCAUCAAGACUUUUGACAAUUUAAUCCACAAUUAAAAUGUCCUCAAAAUAGAUCAUUUAGUAAACAAGUAUACACUCUCAUGUAUAACAGCCAGGUAUUUGCUUAAGAAUUUACUGAGUGGUCCAUUUUGCCAGACAUUUAUCAUCUGUUGCACAAGGUAAAAAAACUGAAAAAAGAAGACUUUUACCAUGCUUCAAGAUAGUCUCAUUUCUUACCUUCCAAAACUUAAUGGUUUUA